rnacentral:rRNA from 1 species
GAAAUGAGUAGCUUUUGGCCGUCUGUGUUAUACCACUUGUUUGCUUCUCCUGAUCUUCCGCUCCCGGUACCCGGGACGGCCCGCCACAUGACCCCUUUACUCUGUUUCUAUAUGUCACUUCUGAGUAAAACCACAAAUUUUCAAAACUUUCUCAACGGAUCUCUUGGUUCUGGCAUCAAUGAACAACGCAGCAAAAUGCGAUAAGUAAUGUGAAUUGCAUAAUUCAAUGAAUCAACGAAUCUUUUAACGCUGAUUGCGCCCGCCGGUAUUCGGGUGGGCAUGCCUGUUUUAGCCUUUUUUCCACUCUCGGGCGCAGGUUGUUGGUGGGACCCUUCGUUGAUUCGCGUUCCUCAAAUUGAUUGGACGGUCACGCUCAAGCUUCCAUAGGGUAUUACAUAAAACCCUCGUUACUGGUACUCGUCCCGGCUACGCCGUUACAUUUCAACUUCUCAAUGCUGACCUCGAAGCAGGUAUACACACCCACUGAACUAAAGCAUAUCAAAGAGAAAAGGAAAAUUAACCAUA